rnacentral:rRNA from 1 species
UUGGAGGGCAAGUCUGGUGCCAGCAGCCGCGGUAAUUCCAGCUCCAAUAGCGUAUAUUAAAGUUGUUGCAGUUAAAAAGCUCGUAGUUGAAUUUCGGGAUCAGUAGGUCGGUCAUGCCUCAGGUAUGUACUGGUCUCACUGGUUCCUCCUUCCUGAUGAACCGUAAUGCCAUUAAUUUGGUGUUGCGGGGAAACUGGACUGUUACUUUGAAAAAAUCAGAGUGUUUAAAGCAGGCUAACGCUUGAAUACAUUAGCAUGGAAUAAUGAAAUAGGACGUUCGAUCCUAUUUUGUUGGUUUCUAGGAUUGACGUAAUGAUUAAUAGGGAUAGUUGGGGGCAUUAGCAUUCAAUUGUCAGAGGUGAAAUUCUUGGAUUUAUUGAAGACUAACUACUGCGAAAGCAUUUGCCAAGGAUGUUUUCAUUAAUCAAGAACGAAAGUUAAAGGGUCGAAGUCGAUCAGAUACCGUCGUAGUCUUAACCAUAAACUAUGCCGACUAGGGAUCGGAUGAUGUUUAUUUCUUU